CUUUGGUGGCUGGAAGUCGUCCGUCACAUUCAGCGAGGGACGACGGCUGCGAGGAAGGCCGGCACGGGGGCGACGAGGGACGCGGGGAAGAGGCGUGUUAGGGCUCCUUCUUCAUCUUCUUCCUUCAGUCCUCCUCUCGGAGCCGACCAGGACGCACGACGGACUUGUACGCCCCACCGAAUUACCAAGGUUCGAAAUAACUGCUUUUGUUUCAGGUGUUCUAAUGGCUUCACACGCUUGGAAAAUCAUCUCUUGCCCCCGCCUCUCCCCCCCUAACCAAAAAGUGUUGAGGGUGAGGACAGACGGGAUGCACGGGUGAGGGGUGGUCACACCUUGCAGGGAGGCUGUGAAUUGAUCAGCACCUCAGAGGGAGGGAGGCAGGGAUGGAGACAUGUGAGAAAGGAGCGUGAGGAAGGACGUGAGGAGAGAGGCUGAGUCAAGAAGGAGGGAAGAAGAGGAUGGUGGUGUGAAGAUUCAUCUUUUCAUGGCGGCGGGUAUGAGUGGCAAAAAUCUGGCGGACUUAAAAACAAAAAACAAAAACAAAAAACGGAUGAUGAUUUGAGUUCGGAUAGGACAUCUUCACAAAAUAAUAUCGCAGUGUCAUAUGGAGCAUCAAAUAUUGCUCGUAUGUACACUUGAAUGACAGUUUUAAGUUUGUCGACAACGUAGCAUGACAAUGAGGUAUCAUCGUUCAUUCGCAUGCAAUAAAAAGGUUUUUUAAUGAUUUGCAUUCAGUUGUGAAUGUAAUUAACAACUUUUUGAAUGUAACAAUGCUAAACUAAUACUAAUACAAGAAUCACAGUAUCGUGAUACCAGUGGUAUCACUGGCAAAAUAUAAUAAUAUCGUAUUGUAUAGACUGCAGCAAAAUAUCCAAAUGUAUGCAAUGCGAUGACUUCAGAUAUAACCCACCAAUUAAAAUAUGUUUUAUUGCAUAUCUGUUAUAAUAUUCUGCAAAUUGCAGUUAACUGUAUCAUAAUUGGACAAUCGUAUUGGAUUGUAAUUGGAAUGAAUUGCAUUGUUAAAAAUUAAACAUCAAAAAGUUUUGUUCCUUAAUAAGGUACAUUAAGGAACAAAACUGUUUUCAUGCAGCGUAGAUUAUUUUCUUGCAAUACAUGAAUUAGUGCUGUAUCGCAAUCCCAUUGAUAUCGUUGGAAACCAUAACAUGAUAUCAUAUUACAAUUUACGCCACAUCCUUUCUAUAAACCGUUUGCUUUCAUUACAUGCAGCAGAUUAAGCGGUAGAUGUGCCGUGGUGAUGUGGCAAAUGGUGUUUUCGCAGGACAUCAACUGCCCAACGGCCGUACAGCGAUACCACCAGCAACGACGGCCAAGCGUUGCAAGAAUCGUAUCAUGAUUUAGGGUGCAAUUCCCAUUAAUAAUACUUCUAAUCUUAAAAUUUUAAUGGCCCCCCUCCCUUCAAAAAAAAAAAA